rnacentral:rRNA from 2 species
CAGCCGCCGCGGUAACACCAGCCCCUCGAGUGGUGGGGAUGAUUAUUUGGCCUAAAGCGUCCGUAGCCGGCCGAGCAAGUCUUCCGUUAAAUCCAGCGUCUCAAGCGUUGGACCGCGGGAGAUACUACACGGCUAGAGAGUGGGAGAGGUCAGCGGUAUUCUGGGGGUAGGGGCGAAAUCCUUUGAUCCCCGGAGGACCACCAGUGGCGAAGGCUGCUGACUAGAACACGUCUGACGGUCAGGGACGAAAGCUGGGGUAGCGAACCGGAUUAGAUACCCGGGUAGACCCAGCCGUAAACGAUGCAUGCUAGGUGUUGGGUUGGCCACGAGCCACCCCAGUGCCGCAGGGAAGCCGUUAAGCAUGCCGCCUGGGAAGUACGAUCGCAAGAUUGAAACUUAAAGGAAUUGGCGGGGGAGCAC